AUUGAACGCUGGCGGAAUGCUUUACACAUGCAAGUCGAACGGCAGCGCGGGUGCUUGCACCUGGUGGCGAGUGGCGAACGGGUGAGUAAUACAUCGGAACGUACCCAGUCGUGGGGGAUAACGUAGCGAAAGUUACGCUAAUACCGCAUACGUCCUGAGGGAGAAAGCGGGGGACCGUAAGGCCUCGCGCGAUUGGAGCGGCCGAUGUCUGAUUAGCUAGUUGGUGAGGUAAAGGCUCACCAAGGCGACGAUCAGUAGCUGGUCUGAGAGGAUGAUCAGCCACACUGGAACUGAGACACGGUCCAGACGCCUACGGGAGGCAGCAGUGGGGAAUUUUGGACAAUGGGCGAAAGCCUGAUCCAGCCAUUCCGCGUGAGUGAAGAAGGCCUUCGGGUUGUAAAGCUCUUUCGGCAGGAACGAAACGCUCUAGAUUAAUACCCUGGGGUAAUGACGGUACCUGAAGAAGAAGCACCGGCUAACUACGUGCCAGCCGCCGCCGUAA
rnacentral:rRNA from 1 species